CGGGAUGUAAACCACUGUCAGGGGCUACCAAGUGACCGCGCCCAAUAUGCGCGGGAGUUGAGGAGCCCCAGAGGAAGCCACGGCUAACUUCGUGC
rnacentral:rRNA from 1 species